rnacentral:rRNA from 1 species
AUUGAACGCUGGCGGCAUGCCUUACACAUGCAAGUCGAACGGCAGCACGGGAGCAAUCCUGGUGGCGAGUGGCGAACGGGUGAGUAAUAUAUCGGAACGUGCCCGGUCGUGGGGAUAACGUAGCGAAAGCUACGCUAAUACCGCAUACGAUCUACGGAUGAAAGCGGGGGAUCGCAAGACCUCGCGCGAUUGGAGCGGCCGAUAUCAGAUUAGGUAGUUGGUGAGGUAAAGGGCUCACCAAGCCGACGAUCUGUAGCUGGUCUGAGAGGACGACCAGCCACACUGGGACUGAGACACGGCCCAGACUCCUACGGGAGGCAGCAGUGGGGAAUUUUGGGACAAUGGGCGCAAGCCUGAUCCAGCAAUGCCGCGUGCAGGAUGAAGGCC